CCUACGGGAGGCAGCAGUGAGGAAUAUUGGUCAAUGGCCGGAAGGCUGAACCAGCCAUGCCGCGUGAAGGUCAGUGCCCUAUGGGCGUUAAACUUCUUUUGUGCGGGAGCAAUAAUGGUCACGUGUGGCCAGACGAGAGUACCGUACGAAUAAGCAUCGGCUAACUCCGUGCCAGCAGCCGCGGUAAUACGGGGGAUGCAAGCGUUAUCCGGAUUUUUUGGGUUUAAAGGGGGCGUAGGCUGUGAGGUAAGUCAGCGGUGAAAUGCCCCCGCUCAACGGGGUGAAGUGCCAUUGAUACUGGCUUGCUUGAAUGCGGAUGCCGUGGGAGGAAUGUGUGGUGUAGCGGUGAAAUGCAUAGAUAUCACACAGAACACCGAUUGCGAAGGCAGCUCACGAAUCCGCGAUUGACGCUGAGGCACGAAAGCGUGGGUAUCAAACAGGAUUAGAUACCCUUGUAGUC
rnacentral:rRNA from 1 species